rfam:Salmo salar isolate Sally breed double haploid chromosome ssa10, whole genome shotgun sequence.
GGGUAGGACAAAUGUAAGUCCCUCUGGAUAAGAGCAUCUGCUAAAUGACUAAAA